AGUGGGCUCUUGGCCUUGACCGUGCGUCGAAAGGAUAAGACCGCAGGGCACUCCUUCCUUUGUCUCUCUCUGGAAUCACAUCUCUCGGCUCCCCUUGCUCUUUCCUGCUUCAAGAGAAAAACAGAGAACAAGCUCUCAUCUUCUCCUCUCUCACUCCCCAAGCUUUGUGCUCCAUUCAAGUGAGAGAUUGAGCUCUAGUGACAGAUCUGAGAGCUUCAAGAGCAUCUCCUCCAUCUCCUCUCCAUUCUCAUGGUUGGUUUUCUUUGGUGAGAGGAGUUGAGGAAACCCUAGUGAUUCAUAUUUGUAGCACUAGGUUGUGAUUGCAAUUGUGGAUUUCUUAUUACUCUUGGUGAUUUCUGUCACCUAUACAGUUGUGGACUUGUUGAUUGGUGAGGGGAUUUGAUGAUUGUGUCCGCCCCCGAUCAAGGUGAUAUUUGUGAGGGGUUCUUGGGCUUAUUCCCCGGCGGAGUGCCAAAAGCCACUCUAGUGGAUUGCUCGUGUCAUUGAGCUACCUCACUUGUGGGUAGGUUCUUGUGGCUCCCAUUUGUUGGGCUAGGUUUGUGAAACACCUAUUAGCCGCCGAACCACCAAGUGUUGGUCGACACAACGGGGACUAGCGUGCCGGCAAGCACGUGAACCUCGGGAGAAAAAUAUUAGUGUCAAUAUUGUGAUUGGUAUUCUCCCGGUGAAUAUAUUGAUAUAAAUUGUGAUUGGUUCAUCCUCUACGCAUUGGUAUAACUAUCUCUCAUCUCUUUACUUUCUUGCAAAUUAGUUGUAACUAGUAGAUCCAAGUUUUAGCUAGUUGUAACUGCUUGUGCCUAGAGAUCAUAGUAACUAAAAUUAUUGGAUAGGUGGCUUGCAACCCUUGUUGAGCUAGAGCAAAAUUGCUUUACACCUUUUGUUAUAUUAAUCCUUUGCUCUAGUGUCUUGUAGAAUUUUUAAAUAGGCUAUUCACCCCCCUCUAGCUAUAUUAGGACCUUUCACAUGCAGGAGCUGACAAGUGACUACGGCCAUUAUGUUGACGUCAGAUCCAGUGUCGUAGAGUGUCUUCUGAAAAGAGUAUCCGUUGAUUGUGCACUUGAUGCUUGGAACACUAGGGUCGUCCUUCUUGAUCAGGAAAGGCGACUUGAGUCGAUGAUCUUGACCUCUUCCGACAAGGAUCCAAUGUUUUAAGUCUUUUGGACAAGACUUCUCACCGUCUUCAUCAUUUAGGUGCAUCAUUUGAUUAGGUGUGGACCUUGACGUCUGCACCUCUUGAUACGGUGUCACCCAUGUUCUUCGUUUGCCCAGCAGUUUGAAGUGCGGUGUUGGCAAUAUCCUGCUCAAUGUGUUUGUGCUCGUAGAUCCAGGUCCUUCAGUUGGUGGAGUCUGGAAGUUGUAAAACUCCUCCAUGUUUUGCUUAAAGUGUACCUGUUCAUAGAGACAAGGCAGAGAUCAAGUGCAUGGGCCCUGUUGGUGGAAAACACCAAUAGAACCAAAAGUGUAUUUGUUCUUCUCUAACCUUAAGCAUAGUGGGCAAGACAAAGUUGAUGGAUUAUGAGUGCAGCAUUUGUCAGCUCAGAUGGCUCAACCUAAUGGAAAGAUAAUCUAUCUAUAUUUAUGUUUUUUUUCUUUAUAUCUUCCCAAAGAUGGAAUGUGCAACAUUUUAGCUUAUAUGAUUAGGAGUGUGGGAUCACGAAGAUAGUACUAAGAACAAAGAUUAAAGGACUAAACAUGUUGAAUUAAUUUAGUUGGUUAAUCUGGAGUUAUAAAACAUACAUGUUUGUCUCUUUAUUUAUGUGAAUGCUAGAACCAAGGAGAAGCUUAUAAAAGCGAUAGUCAAGUACCUUAAGAUGUUAUCUUAAUUGAAGAGUGAUGGUACCAUCUCACCUUGUGGAAGCUUCCCAUUCGUAAUGGGUGUGUAUCUUGUUUAUGUACUUUGUCUCCUUCCAUGGAUCAUCUCUCUAUGAUGAAUGAGCUAUGUCUUCCUUGUACAAGUCGUUAAAUUUCAUGUGUCUCCUUUAUCUCCAAUGUGAGUUUGUAUCUUAGGACUUCCCAGGUUGAUAUUGAAAGUUUUCCUACAGGGAUUAGUCCGACAAAAUAUACCAAUGUCUACACAAG
rnacentral:lncRNA from 1 species